UACGAAGGACCCGAGCGUUAUCCGGAUUUAUUGGGCUUAAAGGGUGCGUAGGCGGACACGCAAGUCAGUGGUGAAAUCCCUCAGCUUAACUGAGGAACUGCCAUUGAAACUAUGUGUCUUGAGUACAUUUGAGGCGGGCGGAAUGUGUCAUGUAGAGGUGAAAUUCUUAGAUAUGACACAGAACACCAAUUGCGAAGGCAGCUCGCUAAACUGUAACUGACGCUGAGGCACGAAAGCGUGGGGAUCAAACAGG
rnacentral:rRNA from 1 species